rnacentral:lncRNA from 1 species
GGGGCUUUUAGGGGCUCUGGCUCUAGCUACUGUAGCUGGCAGGUGGCAAAGGAGCCGGAGCCGGAGGAGUCACAAUUUGUAGCUCCUCUGGCUCCUCCACCGGUUGUGAGAGGGAGGGAGAGGAGAGAGAAAAGAGGUUCGGUGAACAGUUGUGCUACAUUGUUAUUGGAGUAAUUUGACAGGGGAGCCGGAGGAGUCGUCAGGAGGAGCUCCACCAAACUGACCCUUAGACGCAUUUUUGACAUGUGUCAAAGGUACAUGUGGCACAAGACCUCGUCACCACCAACACUUGGGGGCCAUGCCAAGAGGCGGGACUUCAUCAAACAAUCAAGAUUCAAGAAGGGUCAGCAUAUGAAUUUUAACUGUAAACAUCAAUGAACAGUGCUAAAAAUACUAUUUAUCGUUGGAAAUUAGUUGGACCUAGG